GAUGAACGCUGGCGGCGUGCCUAAUACAUGCAAGUCGAGCGAACAGACGAGGAGCUUACUCCUCUGACGUUAGCGGCGGACGGGUGAGUAACACGUGGAUAACCUACCUAUAAGACUGGGAUAACUUCGGGAAACCGGAGCUAAUACCGGAUAACAUGUUGAACCGCAUGGUUCAACAGUGAAAGACGGUCUUGCUGUCACUUAUAGAUGGAUCCGCGUCGCAUUAGCUAGUUGGUAGGUAACGGCUUACCAAGGCAACGAUGCGUAGCCGACCUGAGAGGGUGAUCGGCCACACUGGAACUGAGACACGGUCCAGACUCCUACGGGAGGCAGCAGUAGGGAAUCUUCCGCAAUGGGCGAAAGCCUGACGGAGCAACGCCGCGUGAGUGAAGAAGGUCUUCGGAUCGUAAAACUCUGUUAUUAGGGAAGAACAAAUGUGUAAGUAACUAUGCACGUCUUGACGGUACCUAAUCAGAAAGCCACGGCUAACUACGUG
rnacentral:rRNA from 1 species